GUGACCAUUGGUACUUCGAGAUAGAUUUGAGAGAAAGGAAACUUCUGGCCAAGUCCAAUAAAGUAAAGGACUCAUUGAAUAUUGUUGUUGGAUUACAGAGAUGCGGCGAUGUUUCUCGUUUGACAAAAAAUCUGGAGGAAAAAUUGGCUCAAAACCCAGAUUUUGCCGAGAAAAGAGAAAUGGCCAGAAAGAGAGAGAAGAAAGGUUUCCGCUUCACUGUGAGACGCCUGUUUUCUGGGUGUUUCACACGGAAAUAAACUGCGUGAACCCAAAAUUAAACAUACCACGAUUUAAGACGAUAUAUCCCGACUGUGACAUCUCCCGUCUCUGUGACUCAAAACUUCGAUAUUACCCGAAUAAAGACUUACCUGAACUAGACAAAAGUUUCCGAAUAUGUGACUAUAGGAGUAUGAAGUAGUGACUGUAAAAGUACUGAAUGUAGACUGCGUUGCUCAAAUGUGAUAUUCUUAAAAUGGACUAUAUUGCCCAAUUGUGUGACUUUUAAAAUAGACUAUGCACAAUUGUGUGAUUUUUAAAUGGACAAUGCAUAAUUGGGUGAUUUUUUAAGAACAAUUUUUCUGAUUUUGUGACUUUUUCUGACUGUGACAUUUCCCGAAUUAGACGACACGUCCUGAAAGUGAAUGGAAUAAGUAACUUUUCAAAGUUGCCCUUUUCUGAACCUAUGACUUCUAAAUUAGUGAGUACAAAACUGUAUGACUCCUAAAAUAUAUGACAUUACUAACUGUAUGACUACCGAAUUUUACCAUCUUUGAUUACGAAUUGUUCCUUUAUUUAUUAAAACUGAAUGUAUGCCUGUAAAAUUAACUCAAAGUACAAUAAAUGGAACAUGUUUAAAGUUU